rnacentral:rRNA from 1 species
GGGCCCGCACAAGCGGUGGAGCAUGUGGUUUAAUUCGAUGCAACGCGAAGAACCUUACCUACUCUUGACAUCCAGAGAGCCUUUUAGAGAUAAAGGGUGCCUUCGGGAACUCUGAGACAGGUGCUGCAUGGCUGUCGUCAGCUCGUGUUGUGAAAUGUUGGGUUAAGUCCCGCAACGAGCGCAACCCUUAUCCUUGUUUGCCAGCACUUCGGGUGGGAACUCCAGGGAGACUGCCGGUGAUAAACCGGAGGAAGGUGGGGACGACGUCAAGUCAUCAUGGCCCUUACGAGUAGGCUACACACGUGCUACAAUGGCAUAUACAGAGGGCUGGCCAACUCGCGAGAGUGAGCGAAUCCCAUAAAGUAUGUCGUAGUCCGGAUUGGAGUCUGCAACUCGACUCCAUGAAGUCGGAAUCGCUAGUAAUCGUGGAUC